rnacentral:rRNA from 1 species
AUUGAACGCUGGCGGCAUGCCUUACACAUGCAAGUCGAACGGCAGCAUGAUCUAGCUUGCUAGAUUGAUGGCGAGUGGCGAACGGGUGAGUAAUACAUCGGAACGUGCCCUGUAGUGGGGGAUAACUAGUCGAAAGAUUAGCUAAUACCGCAUACGACCUGAGGGUGAAAGUGGGGGACCGCAAGGCCUCAUGCUAUAGGAGCGGCCGAUGUCUGAUUAGCUAGUUGGUGAGGUAAAGGCUCACCAAGGCGACGAUCAGUAGCUGGUCUGAGAGGACGAUCAGCCACACUGGGACUGAGACACGGCCCAGACUCCUACGGGAGGCAGCAGUGGGGAAUUUUGGACAAUGGGCGAAAGCCUGUUCCAGCAAUGCCGCGUGUGUGAAGAAGGCCUUCGGGUUGUAAAGCACUUUUGUCCGGAAAGAAAUGGCUCUGGUUAAUACCUGGGGUCGAUGACGGUACCGGAAGAAUAAGGACCGGCUAACUACGUG